rnacentral:rRNA from 1 species
GCAAGCCAAGGAGAAAGUUCUUUUCGGAGAGCGAUUAAACUGGCGGACGGGUGAGUAACGCGUAGGCAACCUGCCCCUAUGCUUGGGAUAACCCUUAGAAAUGAGGGCUAAUACCGGAUAUGAUCGAUUAAUCGCAUGGUUAUUCGAUUAAAGCUGGUUCGCUAGCACAUAGGGAUGGGCCUGCGUUCCAUUAGCUAGUUGGCGAGUUAACAGCUCACCAAGGCGACGAUGGAUAGCUGGUCUGAGAGGAUGAUC